GAUUUAUGCUCGUCUCAAAGAUUAAGCCAUGCAUGUCUAAGUAUAAGCAACUUGUACUGUGAAACUGCGAAUGGCUCAUUAAAUCAGUUAUCGUUUAUUUGAUAGUACCUUACUACAUGGAUACCUGUGGUAAUUCUAGAGCUAAUACAUGCUAAAAACCCCGACUUCAGGAAGGGGUGUAUUUAUUAGAUAAAAAACCAACGCCCUUCGGGGCUCCUUGGUGAAUCAUAAUAACUUAACGAAUCGCAUGGCCUUGCGCCGGCGAUGGUUCAUUCAAAUUUCUGCCCUAUCAACUUUCGAUGGUAGGAUAGUGGCCUACCAUGGUGGCAACGGGUAACGGGGAAUUAGGGUUCGAUUCCGGAGAGGGAGCCUGAGAAACGGCUACCACAUCCAAGGAAGGCAGCAGGCGCGCAAAUUACCCAAUCCCGAUACGGGGAGGUAGUGACAAUAAAUACUGAUACGGGGCUCUUUUGGGUCUCGUAAUUGGAAUGAGAACAAUUUAAAUCCCUUAACGAGGAACAAUUGGAGGGCAAGUCUGGUGCCAGCAGCCGCGGUAAUUCCAGCUCCAAUAGCGUAUAUUAAAGUUGUUGCAGUUAAAAAGCUCGUAGUUGAACCUUGGGUCUGGCUGGCCGGUCCGCCUCACCGCGAGUACUGGUCCGGCUGGACCUUUCCUUCUGGGGAACCUCAUGGCCUUCACUGGCUGUGGGGGGAACCAGGACUUUUACUGUGAAAAAAUUAGAGUGUUCAAAGCAGGCCUUUGCUCGAAUACAUUAGCAUGGAAUAAUAGAAUAGGACGUGUGGUUCUAUUUUGUUGGUUUCUAGGACCGCCGUAAUGAUUAAUAGGGAUAGUCGGGGGGCGUCAGUAUUCAGCUGUCAGAGGUGAAAUUCUUGGAUUUGCUGAAGACUAACUACUGCGAAAGCAUUCGCCAAGGAUGUUUUCAUUAAUCAGGGAACGAAAGUUAGGGGAUCGAAGACGAUCAGAUACCGUCGUAGUCUUAACCAUAAACUAUGCCGACUAGGGAUC
rnacentral:rRNA from 1 species